UAAGAAAUAGUAUAAUUGGAAGUACUAAGAAUUUUGAUUUCUUAAGAACAAGUUCAAUCCUUGUUUUCUUAU
rnacentral:tRNA from 1 species